rnacentral:rRNA from 1 species
UACGUAGGUGGCAAGCGUUAUCCGGAAUUAUUGGGCGUAAAGAGCGCGCAGGUGGUUGAUUAAGUCUGAUGUGGAAGCCCACGGCUUAACCGUGGAGGGUCAUUGGAAACUGGUCGACUUGAGUGCAGAAGAGGGAAGUGGAAUUCCAUGUGUAGCGGUGAAAUGCGUAGAGAUAUGGAGGAACACCAGUGGCGAAGGCGGCUUCCUGGUCUGUAACUGACACUGAGGCGCGAAAGCGUGGGGAGCAAACAGGAUUAGAUACCCCGGUA